rnacentral:rRNA from 1 species
GACGAACGCUGGCGGCGUGCCUAAUACAUGCAAGUAGGACGCAGUUGCGAACGGGUGUGUAACGCGUAGGUAUCUACAUCCUAGAGGGGGAUAACUAUUAGAAACGAUAGCUAAUACCGCAUACUCGUAGAUGGAUCUGCGUUGUAUUCGCUAGUAGGUAGGGUAAAGGCCUCCCUAGGCAACGGUACAUAGCCGAGCGGUGGAGGUGAUGUGCCACAAUGGGACUGGGAACAGGGCCAAAAUCCUUCGGGAGGCAGGAUGAGGGGAAUAUCGGCAAAUGGGGGAACACUGAACGAGCAAAGCCGCAGGAUGGAAAAAGGGUUUCGGGAUGUAAAGGUCUGGUGUUAAGUAAGCGGUACUUAACCAGAAAGGGACGGCUAACUACGUGCCAGCAGCCGCGGUAAUUC